UGUAUAUUAAUUUAAAAACCGAAAAAGAUUGGGGACCAGAACAGUACAAUCGCCGACAAAAACAAACAGGAACAAAAGAGUUAGGAGAAGAGUUGGGUAAGAGAGAUAGAGAAGAAACAUGCACUGAGUUUGGGAAGAGAUAAACAGCGGGUCUUUGAAGCUCGAACAAUAAUCAAAAGCAAAGAAGGAGAGGGAGAGGGAGGCCUUCUCUCGAGCCGGAGAAGACCGCCGGAAGUAAGAGAUGAAAGAUAGUUUCGACAGAAAAGAAAAACAGAGUGACGACGCCGUUAGAUGCGCGGAGAAGAAAAACUCACCGUGUACGGAGCAGAAACCGGAGAAGAAGAUUCGGAUCUCUCCAUCGAGGCGUUGAGAAAAGCGAUCCUACGAGAAGAAGGGCAGCUUUCGAUAUGUGUGAGUUCUUUGCAAGCAUGGUGAUCAUCAACAAAAAUCACAACUAACCUAUCAACAUGUGCCAAUUCAUUUGUUUCACAGAGAUCACAUUUUUAUUUAUAAGCCAAGUACAUGUUUCUUUCUCUUGAGCUAUGUUUUCUUUAUAAGCAAAGCACUUGUUUCUUUCUCCUAUCUUAUUUUUCUCCAACAAUUUAAGAAUUUGUUUCUUAUUUAAAUUUUUAUGUAUCAUUUUCUUUCAAAUUAUUCAACUU